rfam:Myotis brandtii contig305396, whole genome shotgun sequence.
GAGACACCCCUAUGGAGUAGGACUUGCUUCAGUGGGGCUUUGGUGCUCACUGAGUCUGCCCCUUGAGUGUGUCCCC